rnacentral:lncRNA from 1 species
UUCACAAAGACAUCUCACUUAACUCACCGUGUAAGAAGGUUGAUUUCACGUCCAACUGGUAACUGUCCCUCCUUUUGAGCAUGCAAGGGAAAUCACCACUCGAAUGUGUCUAAACCGAGCUCCAGUUGCAAAUUACCUCAGGCAUAAUAAACGUCAUGUUAUUGGUGGUUCCCUUUGCUACUAGUCUGGCCUUGUACUUAUCCACUUACCUAUGUUCAUUUGUUUAGUCUUGAACACCCUUGCCCAAUCUUCUUUCCUUUAAUACAUAAUUCUUUUAGUUCUCAAGUAUUGUUCCUGUCUCUGAUGGCUUCUAUGAUAAAUCCAUUGCCUUCCUUCAUUUUGCACUUUUCACAGCAUCUACAUAAGAGGUAGGAUCACUGUUGGCAAAACCAUAGCCUAGAUGGUUAUGUCUCUUCGGAUGAGAGACCUUCUCCACUUUCAUAGUCCCUCGUUCAAAUUGGUGGUAGCCUAGUUCUUCCUUCAGUAGAGUUGGUUGAGCUCUCUUCUAAGGACUCAUUUGAAGCAUCAUACUCUAUUUUUUCUUUUGAAUUACCACUGAGAUCAUCAUCGACUUCUUCAUUGUCACCAUUUGAAUCAACAAUAACAACUUCUACAUCAUGGUGCCCUCAUACAAUCUAUACACCUUCGACUCCUCACUGACUCCAAAUAGAACACAUCGCAUACUUUUGUCCUCAAGUUUUGUACUUUUGUUAUCUAGGAUGUGAGCAUAGGAAAUACAUCCAAACACUUUAAAGUACUUCACUGAUGGUUUGAAUUAGCCCCAGGCUUUUUCAGGAGUCAUAUUCCUCACUAUGAGAGUUGGACUUCUAUUUAAAACAUGGAUAGUUCAGUUCACUGCUUCAGGCCAGAAAGUCUUUGGGAUUUUCUUCUCUGACAGCAUACUUCGAACCAAGUUCAUAACAGUUCUAUUUUUCCUCUCUGCAACACCAUUUUGUUGUGGGGUGUAUGCUGCUGUCAAUUGCCUACGAAUACCGUUUACAUUGUAAAAGUUGGAAAAGCCUUGUGAUGUAAAUUAUCCUCCUUUAUCUGUACGAAGACUCUUUAUAUAUGCACCAGUUUCUUUUUCAACUCGACUCUUAUAAUUUUUGAAGUUGACAAAAGCUUUUAACUUAUCUACUGGGAAAUAGACCCAAGUUUUACGACUGAAAUCAUCAAUGAAAUUAACCAAGUACCUUUUCUUGUUGUUGGAGGUGGGAGUGAUUGGUCCACAGAUAUUAGCAUGUACUAGUUAGAGAAUCUAAGUAGCCCUCCACAUGCUUCUUUGUGGAAAUUGAUCUCUUUGAUGCUUCCUUAUCAAGCAAUGUUCACACACCUUUGCAGGAGCAUUAAGAUGUGGUAGUCCACUCACCAUAUUUUUUUGCUGAAAAAGCUUCAAACUAUUGAAGCUUAGAUGUCCAUAUCUACAAUGCCAAAGUUGACUUGGAUCAUCUGUAAGAGAGUUGAAACAGGUUUGUUCCACGAUUUGAGUCUGAGCACUCAAAACAAACAUUAUGUUUUUAGCAUUGCAUUUCCCCAUGAUCAAUCCUCUCAUCAAUAUACACAACUUACAUUUUUCAUGUUGUAUGAGGAGUUAUCCCUUUGUCUUGCAACUGACGCAUACUCAACAGAUUGUUCUUCAGGUCUGGGACUAGAACAUGCUAGUGAUCCACCUGUAUAAGUCCAUUCACUUGCAUCCAUAAUGUUGCCUUUUCCAUCACAGUCAUCCUUGAGUUAUUCCCCAAUUCACAUUCACAGAUCCCUAAGCUUCAUAAAGUCAGUGAAAAGCUCCUUCUUACCACACAGGUGGUUACUGCAACCGGAGUCGAGGAACCAUGUCUCUUUGUUGCUGGCUUUCUGGACCUCUACAUAGGCCAUUAACAAAAAAAAAUUCAUUUGUUUCUGUGUAAUUAGCCCUUGUCUGCUUCUCCUUCUUUGGACAUUCGUAUUGAAAGUGUCCAAGUUCAUGGCAGUGAUAAUACUCAAUGGUAGACUUAUCAAAGCUUUGUCUACCUCGUCCUCUUCCCCGUCCUCUAUAUCCUCCACGACCUCGUCCUUGUCCUCCUAAUUGAUCUUCAUGAGUUUACCUUUAUGCUUGUUCUCUUCCACAGCAUGGCCAUUCAUGCGUUGUUUCAUGCAUUAUGGACAUCUUUGUAGCUCAUCAAUAUACAAAGUGGUCCUAGAUCAUGAGAUUCUUCAAUGAACAUACGACAUAGUCGAAUUUUGAGGUCCCAUCGAUCUCAGAUUUCUCAAUAAUAGCAACGUCCUCCAUUGUGCCUCACUGUGGAUCCUCAUCUUGUUGGCUAAUGGAGGACGAGCCGAAGUAUUCAUACCAUGUGGGGGUCUCCCGUCUCGCUACUUCAUGUGAAGAAUUUCAAAGUCCUCGAAGGGCCUUGUAAUUGUGCACGUUUCAUCACUCGAUUCGUUCCCUAGUACUUUUUUGGCUUCAUGAGUCCCAGAUGUCCCUUUGGCUAUAUCUUUGUUUAGAAUUGUUUUUCAGGAUGAAUCCAGAACAAGUAGUUCUUGCUCUUGCAAGUCCUUCAGCUGGGCUCGUCAAUCCGCCUUCUUUUGUCCUUCAGUGGGUUAACGCCUUCUGUUACUCUGCAGGACCGUCCACUUUCUAUAAGCCCCAAUAUGUCCUUCGAGCGCAAAAUUCUUCAUGAGCAUACUCCAAUGAUCAUAGUGUCCAUCAACUUGGAAUUGUUGGUUGCAUGAAGCUACUUUUAGCCACCAUAUUCUUUCUCCUACUAAAUACGAAUAGAAGAUUGUUUGCUUUUUGCUUCUCUCUCAUGUGAAUCAGGCUUCAUGAGACAGAUCUGAUACCUAAUGUUUAGAAAUCUGAUAGGAGAAUUAGGAAUUUGGAAAAAACUUUCUCUUAUUUCGAUAAACUGACUAAGUUGGCUUUUAUAGCCCCUUACAAAAUAACAUAAACAUAAAACAAGAAAAAAAAUUGCAACCAUGUUAAAAAACCCUAUACGUGGUUAGAGGCCUAAAUAAUAGGUCAAACAACAAUUCAUCCUAACAAUAGAAUUAUUACGAGGUCAGUAACUUACUGCCAAAACAAACUCUAAAAGAUAAACUACCCUUUAACAAGAAGCCCGGAGGCGGCGGGAGUCUUGGCAUCUCAACAGUGGCGGUGGUAAGAGUUGGCAGUGGAGGUGGGAAAGAGGAGGAAAGGGUUUCAAAUCACAUCAACGGUCGUGGGUGAGCGGCGAGAAGUGGAUUGAUAAGGGCAAGGUUUUUUAGGGUGACUGAUGGUAAUUUUAGUACUUUCGAGCUAGUUGGUGGGUUAGAUCAGGAGGGUAUCUUGUUCCCUUGCGCAGGAAGGUAAGACCAGGAUAUGUGCGCCGGUCCGUUGACGUACGUAUCACCCUUUAUUAAAAUAAACUACUUGGACUUGUGGUUUUGGUGUGGUGAAAAGAGGGGUAGGUAGAUGUGUCAAAUGUUUUCCCCCUUGCCCGCCUGGCCUUGCCGUGGCCAACCAUGCUUUCGUGUCGUUGGCUGUCGGGGAGCCCAUUUCUUACGUGCCUUGCCGUGUCGUGCCUUAAUUCGUGCGCCGGAGCCAUUUUUAAUCCGUGUCGUACUCUACCAUUUUCCUUUAUUUCGUGUCGUGCUGUGACGGCCCAUUUACGUAAUCAUGUCGUGUCGUGCCGUGCUGACUCAUUUACUUCUUAUCGUAGUCUACCAUGCCGUGCCACUAACUUAGGGUCGUGUGACUCGUGUUAUGCAGUGUUGUGUCCGUCUACUUAAUCGUGCUUGCCCAUGCCUGUAUUUUAAUUGUGGCAUGCCGUGUCUAAUUUUUUAAUAGUGUCAUGUCGUCCAUGCUUGAAUUUCCGUGAUUUUGUUUCCAUAUGUGGGGAAAAGCAUAAGACUUUCUCAAGCAAUUAGGCAGUCUUUAUAUCAUGCUCUCCCUUAUGUUGUGAAAGGCCUAUUUUCAAGUAGUGUUAUCACAGUAAAAAAAUAGUAAAAAAACAAUGUCUUUUACUUUUUCCUCCCUUGUAUUUACAUUUUGAAUGUUUGUUGAUAACAUUCACGUUAUUUCAAAAACCAACCUCAAGGACUACUCUUGUAAUUAUAUUGUUGUUUAGCCUAAUUUCCUCCACACAGGGAAAUAAUAUCAAAAAUAUAUGAUCCACUCCAAUCCACCCAAUCUCAAUGAGGGUUUUCAAAUCCUCAAAAAACAUACAUCAAUAAACAAAACUCCACACUAAUAUACACAGCAGCAAACAAACACGUGGAUAGUCAUUUUAUAGAAACUAAUUACAAAACACAUGAUUUGAGAAAUGAAAUUUUUCAUACACUCUGAGAACGAUUAGGAACAAAAAUCAGUAUCAAUUGUAGAAAGAGCCCACUCAAAAACUAAAAAUAUCCAAGGACAAAAAAAAAAAUAAAAAUUGUUGUCGAUUGUGUGACUAGCGUAUAAUAUAAUUAAAAUUUUUUAAUUUUUUUUUUCCCAUUUUUUUUCUUAAUAUCUCUGUUGAAAAUGUAAUGUAGUUAAUAAAACUAUUUUUUAUUAUUUCUGAUUUAUGCCAUGACCUAUGAACAAGUCAAAAUUUAUUUAUUUUACUUUUUUAAAAAUUAUUUUUAUAUUUUUUAUUAUUGCAAGUUAAUUUAUUUUAAUUAAUUUUAUUUUAAUUUAUUUAAUAAUAACCAUUUUUUUUGUCACUUCGUGUCGUGCCACACCCAAUACCUUGCCGUGCGCGCGUCGUGCCCAUGCCCGUGUGGCCACUUCCAUUUUGUGCUUGUGUUGUGUUGUGUUUGUCUAGAUUAAUACGUGACUGGCCCUGUCCAAAUUAAGCCAACUACUGUGUCGUGCCCGGGGCGCGUGCCUCUCUCUUGACCAUGCAUGCCGUGCCCUGCCAGCAACUACCAGGUCGUUGACCGUGCCGUGCUCAUCACCAUUUUCGUGCCCCAUGCCCGUGCCUGCUUAGACCGUGUUGUGCCGUGCCCAAUUUAUAUUAUGUCUGUGCCGAAUUUUUUCGUGCCUUGCCCGCUUGACACCU